UACGUAGGGGGCAAGCGUUGUCCGGAUUUAUUGGGCGUAAAGAGCGUGUAGGCGGCCAGGUAGGUCUGCUGUGAAAACUCGAGGCUUAACCUCGAGAUGUCGGCGGAAACCAUCUGGCUAGAGUCCGGAAGAGGAGAGUGGAAUUCCGGGUGUAGUGGUGAAAUGCGUAGAGAUCCGGAGGAACCCCAGAGGCGAAGGCGGCGUCCUGGCUCACAACUGACGCUCAUACACGACAGCAUGGGGAGCGAACGGG
rnacentral:rRNA from 1 species